UAAGGCGGGGUGUGAGAUGACUUGGAUGAGAAUCAGCACCUCCAAAUGUGAGACCAUGGUCCUCUGUCAAAAAAGGUGGAUUGUCCUCUCUGGGUCAG